GAAGAGAAAUUUAAAUUUUUGCCUCUAUGGAUUUCACCCACAAGUUUCAAUCACUUAUUUAUUUCAUCAAAGAAAUAACUAUUUAAAUAUAAUAUGGAAAUUGGUCUUGUGAAGCUUUGAUUCAAAUAAAGAAAAAACUAUGUUUCGAAUCAAUUUGAGCAGAGCUCAAAUGUGGCUUCAUGAAGGCAUUUGAUUCGAGUCAGAAUUUACACUUGAU
rnacentral:lncRNA from 1 species